rnacentral:rRNA from 1 species
AGGACGAACGCUGGCGGCGUGCUUAACACAUGCAAGUCGAGCGGAAAGGCCCUUCGGGGUACUCGAGCGGCGAACGGGUGAGUAACACGUGAGCAACCUGCCCCUGGCUCUGGGAUAGCCUCCGGAAACGGGGAUUAAUACCGGACAUUCACUCUCUUGGGCAUCUUCGAGGGUGGAAAGUUUUUUCGGCCGGGGAGGGGCUCGCGGCCUAUCAGCUUGUUGGCGGGGUAACGGCCCACCAAGGCGACGACGGGUAGCCGGCCUGAGAGGGCGACCGGCCACACUGGGACUGAGACACGGCCCAGACUCCUACGGGAGGCAGCAGUGGGGAAUAUUGCGCAAUGGGCGGAAGCCUGACGCAGCGACGCCGCGUGGGGGAUGAAGGCCUUCGGGUUGUAAACCCCUUUCACCAGGAGCGAAUCCAGACGGUACCUGGGGAAGAAGGCGCCGGCUAACUACGUGCCAGCAGCCGC